rnacentral:rRNA from 1 species
GACGAACGCUGGCGGCGUGCUUAACACAUGCAAGUCGAGCGGUAAGGCCCUUUCGGGGGUACACGAGCGGCGAACGGGUGAGUAACACGUGGGUGACCUGCCUCUAGCUCUGGGAUAAGCCUGGGAAGCUGGGUCUAAUACCGGAUAUGACCUCGCGGUGCAUGUUGCGGGGUGGAAAGCCUUGUGCGGCUAGGGAUGGGCCCGCGGCCUAUCAGCUUGUUGGUGGGGUGANGGCCUACCAAGGCGACGACGGGUAGCCGGCCUGAGAGGGAGACCGGCCACACUGGGACUGAGACACGGCCCAGACUCCUACGGGAGGCAGCAGUGGGGAAUCUUGCGCAAGUGGGACGAAAGCCUGACGCAGCGACGCCGCGU